rnacentral:tRNA from 1 species
GGAAGCGUGGCCGAGCGGUUUAAGGCACUAGUCUUGAAAACUAGCGAAGGGGGAACUCUUCCGUGAGUUCGAAUCUCACCGCUUCCGCCA